rnacentral:rRNA from 1 species
GACGAACGCUGGCGGCGUGCUUAACACAUGCAAGUCGAACGGAAAGGCCCUGCUUUUGUGGGGUGCUCGAGUGGCGAACGGGUGAGUAACACGUGAGUAACCUGCCCUUGACUUUGGGAUAACUUCAGGAAACUGGGGCUAAUACCGGAUAGGAGCUCCUGCUGCAUGGUGGGGGUUGGAAAGUUUCGGCGGUUGGGGAUGGACUCGCGGCUUAUCAGCUUGUUGGUGGGGUAGUGGCUUACCAAGGCUUUGACGGGUAGCCGGCCUGGGAGGGUGACUGGCCACAUUGGGACUGAGAUACGGCCCAGACUCCUACGGGAGGCAGCAGUGGGGAAUAUUGCACAAUGGGCGGAAGCCUGAUGCAGCAACGCCGCGUGCGGGAUGACGGCCUUCGGGUUGUAAACCGCUUUCGCCUGUGACGAAGCGUGAGUGACGGUAAUGGGUAAAGAAGCACCGGCUAACUACGUG